rnacentral:rRNA from 1 species
UAAUUUUUUUGUAAUUGAAAGUAAAAUCGUAACAAGGUUUUCGUAGGUGAACAUGCGAAACGAUCAUU